rnacentral:rRNA from 1 species
GUCUUGUUGAUAAUAAUUUCAAGUCUAACCUGCCCAAUGAGGAUUUUAAUGGCCGCGGUAAUUUGACCGUGCAAAGGUAGCAUAAUCAUUAGUUUUUUAAUUGAAAGCUUGUAUGAAAGGUUUGAUGAAAAAAUUUCUGUCUCUAGAAAAGUUUAUUAGAAUUUUAUUUUUAAGUUAAAAAGCUUAAAUAUGUAUAGAAGACGAGAAGACCCUAUAGAGUUUUAUAUUUAAAUUAAAAAUUUAAUUUUUAGUGUGAAAAAUAUAUUUUUAAUUUAAGUAUUUUAUUGGGGUGAUGAAAAAAUUUAAUAAACUUUUAAUAAAAAGAAACAUUGAUUUAUGAGUAUGUGAUCCUAUGAUUUAGGCUAUAAGAUUAAAUUACCUUAGGGAUAACAGCGUAAUCUUUCUUAGAGUUCUUAUCGAAAGGAGGGGUUGCGACCUCGAUGUUGGAUUAAAAUUAAUUAUUGGUGUAGAAGCUAUUGGAUUAGGUCUGUUCGACUUUUAAAAUUUUACAUGAUCUGAGUUUAAACCGGUGUGAG